GACGAACGCUGGCGGCGUGCCUAAUACAUGCAAGUUGAGCGCUGAAGGUUGGUACUUGUACCGACUGGAUGAGCAGCGAACGGGUGAGUAACGCGUGGGGAAUCUGCCUUUGAGCGGGGGACAACAUUUGGAAACGAAUGCUAAUACCGCAUAAAAACUUUAAACACAAGUUUUAAGUUUGAAAGAUGCAAUUGCAUCACUCAAAGAUGAUCCCGCGUUGUAUUAGCUAGUUGGUGAGGUAAAGGCUCACCAAGGCGAUGAUACAUAGCCGGCCUGAGAGGGUGAUCGGCCACAUUGGGACUGAGACACGGCCCAAACUCCUACGGGAGGCAGCAGUAGGGAAUCUUCGGCAAUGGACGAAAGUCUGACCGAGCAACGCCGCGUGAGUGAAGAAGGUUUUCGGAUCGUAAAACUCUGUUGGUAGAGAAGAACGUUGGUGAGAGUGGAAAGCUCAUCAAGUGACGGUAACUACCCAGAAAGGGACGGCUAACUACGUG
rnacentral:rRNA from 1 species